ACGCUCGACACCUACGGGGGCAGCAGUCGGGAAUAUUGCGCAAUGGAGGAAACUCUGACGCAGUGACGCCGCGUGCAGGAAGAAGGUUUUCGGAUUGUAAACUGCUUUAGACAGGGAAGAAAAAGGACAGUACCUGUAGAAUAAGCUCCGGCUAACUACGUGCCUGCAGCCGCGGUAAUCUGAGCGGGCUGGCAAGGC
rnacentral:rRNA from 1 species